CAGGUAGUUUCAUGUUGUUGGGAUUCGCUUCCUGGCUCGGCAACAAGAAACUGCCUCGA
ensembl:miRNA gmo-mir-196b gmo-mir-196b